rnacentral:rRNA from 1 species
GAUGAACGCUGGCGGCGUGCCUAAUACAUGCAAGUCGAGCGAACAGACGAGGAUCUUGCUCCUCUGACGUUAGCGGCGGACGGGUGAGUAACACGUGGAUAACCUACCUAUAAGACUGGGAUAACUUCGGGAAACCGGAGCUAAUACCGGAUAAUAUAUUGAACCGCAUGGUUCAGUAGUGAAAGACGGUUUUGCUGUCACUUAUAGAUGGAUCCGCGCCGCAUUAGCUAGUUGGUAAGGUAACGGCUUACCAAGGGAACGAUGCGUAGCCGACCUGAGAGGGUGAACGGGCCCACUGGAACUGAGACGCGGUCCAGACUCCUACGGGAGGCCGCAGUAGGGAAUCGUCCGAAAUGGGGGGAAGCCUGAAGGAGGAACGGCGCGUGAGUGAUGAAGGUCUUCGGAUCGUAAAACUCUGUUAUUAGGGAAGAACAAAUGUGUAAGUAACUAUGCACGUCUUGACGGUACCUAAUCAGAAAGCAACGGCUAACUACGUG